rnacentral:lncRNA from 1 species
UCUAUCCAGCUAUCCAGUGAAGAUCUCAAGUUUCCAUGCAUAAGCAUCUGCCUUCAUCCUUAUUGAGUCUAAAAAUGACAUUGUGGAUUCAAAUAUCUCCUUUCAUUGGGUACAUACAUGUUAUUCUGCCCAAUAGACUUCGUUGCCCCCAGUUGCUAAUGAACCAUCAAGGAUCCUAUACAACUAAGAAUUGGAGCUUAAAUGAUGUGUAAACCUCUACUCCACUAUCUUCUGACACAAGUGAAGGAAGAAAGGGAGAGAGGAAGAGGAAGAGGAAGAAGUAGAGGAGGGAAGAGAGGAGAAG